ACGACGAAGUGAAAGACGAUGAACUUUGCUUAAACAGUCUUACAAAGUUGGAAGAUGAUUAUCGAGGUGUGUUUAAACCUUCGAAUUAUUUAAUAUUGUGUGUAUUCAUUAUUUUGUUUUAUAGAGGAUUUGCCGUAAGAUCCUAACGCGAUCGUUUUAACACAAUCGCAGUCUGGUGAGUCAAAUGAUUCUCAUUUUACAAGAAAAAAAACAUGCGGUAUACGAUACAUAUAUACAUAUAUUUACUUACAUCUCCGGCUCGCUGGUCUCCCUUAAAGCUGGCGGGUCCGUCAACGGCCGUUCCAGGCAGAGGAGAAGGCUUGAUUGUGCCAAAGACUCCAGACAUCGAAUCCUUGCUCCGAGGGGAAAUCAUCGAAAACGACGGUGAAUGUCCGACAGGCACCCGCUAUUGGUAACACUGGACAAGUCGGAUAUCCUUGCUUGGAUCCUUUUAAAGUUGCCCGAUAAACUGCUGAGAGUUGAUCUCUCCUCUUGUCCAAAGGUUUUUCGUUCAUUUUUACUUGUAAUACUGGCACUAGGGUUGAUGUAGUAGCUCCACAACAUAACCUUAAAGCCUGUGACUGGAUCCGGUCUAUUUUCCCAAGUCAUGUUUUUGAAGCAGAUUGGUAAAUAAUGCAUCCGUAAUCAAUAACAGAUGGAAUUAAAGUUAUAAA